AGAGUUUGAUCCUGGCUCAGGACGAACGCUGGCGGCGUGCUUAAUACAUGCAAGUCGAGCGAGGUUACUGUUUUGGAUCCCUUCGGGGUGAAGAAGCUUUAACCUAGCGGCGGACGGGUGAGUAACGCGUAUGCAACCUACCCGUAGCAGGGGGAUAGCCCGUUGAAAGACGGAUUAAUACCCCGUAACACAGGGGCUCCGCAUGGAGAUUAUUGUUAAAGGGUCAUUUCUUUUUCAGGGAUGGUCCGGCUGCGGAUGGGCAUGCGUUCCAUUAGGUAGUUGGUGUAGGUAACUGCUCACCAAGCCGACGAUGGAUAGGGGAACUGAGAGGUUGGUCCCCCACACUGGUACUGAGACACGGACCAGACUCCUACGGGAGGCAGCAGUGAGGAAUUUUGGUCAAUGGACGCAAGUCUGAACCAGCCAUGUCGCGUGAAGGAGGACGGCCCUAAGGGUUGUAAACUUCUUUUGCAGUGGAAUAAAGUUUGCCACGUGUUGGCGAUUUGCAAGUACGCUGCGAAUAAGGAUCGGCUAACUCCGUGCCAGCAGCCGCGGUAAU
rnacentral:rRNA from 1 species